rnacentral:tRNA from 1 species
GGAGAGAUGCCAGAGUGGUUGAAUGGGACGGCCUCGAAAGUCGUUGUGGGGCGACCCACCCAGGGUUCGAAUCCCUGUCUCUCCGCCA